rnacentral:rRNA from 1 species
UGGGGAAUAUUGCACAAUGGGCGCAAGCCUGAUGCAGCCAUGCCGCGUGUGUGAAGAAGGCCUUCGGGUUGUAAAGCACUUUCAGCGAGGAGGAAGGUGGUGAGCUUAAUACGCUCAUCAAUUGACGUUACUCGCAGAAGAAGCACCGGCUAACUCCGUGCCAGCAGCCGCGGUAAUACGGAGGGUGCAAGCGUUAAUCGGAAUUACUGGGCGUAAAGCGCACGCAGGCGGUUUGUUAAGUCAGAUGUGAAAUCCCCGGGCUCAACCUGGGAACUGCAUUUGAAACUGGCAAGCUAGAGUCUCGUAGAGGGGGGCUAGAAUUUCCAGGUGUAGCGGUGAAAUGCGUAGAGAUCUGGAGGAAUACCGGUGGCGAA